rnacentral:lncRNA from 1 species
UACAUAUGUUGGAGUUAGGGGAAACAUCCUCAUGCUGCAGCCUCCCCCAUCUCUAGACAGUGCGUACAACAUUCUGCUUUAGGAUGAGAGACAAAGACAAUUUACAUCAUCACCCUCUCAAUUCCGUAGUGACUCCAAUGCUUUCAACACUUAUUUCACCAACAAAUUCCCUGGCACACCUGCCCAUUCUAAACAAUUCAAUCAAGGAGUCAGCUUUGAUCUCAACAAGACAAACUUAGUGCGUAGAUAUUGCAAGAAACCUGGUCAUAUGAUUGACAAGUGCUACAAACUCCAUGGAUUCCCACCAGACUUCAAAUUUACAAGAAGCAAGAGGACUGCAUCAAAUGUUGAGGUGCAGGGAUGUCUGAACUCUGUUGGGUCUUCAAACAAUGCCUCCAUGGAUUCCCGCCAGACUUCAAAUUUACAAGAGGCAAGAGGACUGCAGCAAAUGUUGAGGUGCCGGGAUGUCUGAAUUCUGUUGGGUCUACAAACAAUGCUGAUAGUACUCAGGGGUCCUCUGAAUCAGAAUCUUUGAUUCCUGGUUUAACCAAGGAUCAAUAUUCACAACUUAUGUU